CUCCUGCCUCCCCAGUCCACCCUCUCCCUGGGAAAGCAGUCAGCCUUUCCCACCUCCCGCACAGCUCCGAAGGUGACCAUGGUUCCCAGCCAGGUGGUCCUGUAUAUGCAUCUUCAUCUCUGCUUCUUUAGACUGUGAGCCCGUCAAGGGCAGGUCCAGGUCAGAUGGGUUCCGUAGCCGCAGUCCAAGCAGCAGCACACAGGAGACCCCCAAGGCUAGUGCAGUAGAGAAUAUGCAGGGCUGGGCCCCUUUCUAGUUCUCCUGUGUACUGGCUGUGUGACCCUGAGCAAGUUUCUUAAGCUCUGGAGCCCAGGGCAGGCUGGACAUUUAUGUUAUCUUCUAACUGAUUAGAAGAGCAAAAAUGUGUGUUUAAUAAUACUCCUGCCAUGUGCUGCAGUGUUCAAACCUUGCAGUGUUUUCAAAGGCAUCAUUUAAUGUUCAUAAAUCUGUGAAGCAGGUACUGUUAAUGUCCGCACUCCACAGAGGAGGCUGAGGCUCAGAGAGGCAGUGCACUGGCCUAUUGUCACACAGCUCAGAAGAGGCAGAACUGGAAUUUGAUCCACGCUGCACAUGAGUGCAGGGUGCUCUGUUUCUCGCAUACGAGGCUGCUCCCCUGUAAAGGGAGAGUUAGUCAGCUCCCUCCAAGAGGUCAAAGUCCCAGUGGUUCGAUUUGCAUUUAAGGAAAAAUCAGGAAGCCACCGUACCCAAAGAAGAUGGCUCAUUGGAAAAAAAAAAAUCACAUUUAUCUUUUGGCCUGGACAGUCUAUUCCAAAUUAACUGGAGCUUGAGUUUCCUCAAGAUCAUGAAGUGUAUCCUGCCUAGAUUGUUUUAAUAAUGAGUUUGUCUGUGCUCACAGUUUCUCUGUUUAGUAUUUCAUCCUGCCAAUAUCACUUUUGCAUUUCCUGUUCAUUCUUUCUCCAUUAAGUUCAUCAGAUAAAAGGAAAGUCGUGUACCUUUGAUAUUGGCACCUUGCUGCAAUUUCAGAAAAUAAAUGGUGUAGAGAUGAAAACUGUCCUUUAGAAUCCUUUCUGUAAUUUUCCUAAACGUAAGGCUUUAAUUUAGGCUGUUGGUUUACAGCCUUUAUUCUCCCAGUCUCUCUGCCCUGCUGCUCUCUCUUUUAUCAAAGGGAAAGGCUGAAUACCUAAAUGCUUUAGUGAGGAGUAAAUAUUUUGUACAUUUUACAUUCUCUCAUUUAAUCUUUGGAGCAGCCUUGCAAGCCAGGUGCAAUUCCACUGACUAGAUGGAGGAACUGAGACCCAGGAGGGUCGCCAAAGAAUCAGGACCAGCAAGGGGACCCGGGCCAGAUCAGGGCGGUGACUCCAAGAAGCUGUCCUUACCUUGGGACCCUGGGGCCCGAGUUGGGUCUUGAGCAGUUUGGUGCAGCAUCAGUGGCUGCAUUCAGUGGUUUGGGUGCCAUCAGUUACAAGCCCCUUGUUGACACACAUCUGUGAGUUUUUAGAUGUUUCAGGCCUUAUCAUUGAAAAAUCUCAAGAAACUGGAGGAGAGCUACAUCUCUUGAGGGGCUCAUGCUCUCAAGACUUUGCUGGAGGUUGCGGUGCCCAGUCAAAAGUCUCUCAAAAAUUCCCUGAAUUGCUCAUCAAGUGUGGUCCCCAGCCAUUUUUGCCUCUAGCAUUGGGAGAAGCUGGCCCGUUAUCAGAUGAGUAGCAGAGGGAGCAGGGGCCUGUGGAAUAGAAAAUGCUGAUCCUUAAACGUGGGAACCACAUGCACUGGGGUGUGAGGCUCAUGCUUUAAGUGGCAAGUGGGACCCCAAGUGGACAGAGCAGUUCAGCUCUCUCUCUUACCAGUGCCGAUAAAGUCCAGCAGGUUACUAAGCCUUUCUGUGACUCAGUGUUCUCAACUGUGAAAUGGGAACGAUACUGAGACCUGCUUCUAGUGUGAUUAUGAGGAUGCAAUGAGAAAGUGCAGGGGAGGCCCCGGCACAGAGCCUGGUACCCGGUAGGAUUUAGAUUCUGUCGCAUCAUUGUCACCAUCACCAUCAUCAUCUUCACCAUCACGUCUUCAUGGGCUUGUCACGUCCAGUGGAGGCUGGAUGGAAUCACUCACACUGCUUACAUCAUGGUUUCCUCUUUCUUGUCUUUUUGUUUGCCCCCGAGAGCUUAGGCUUCACUGCGUGCAAAGUCGCUUCAGUCGUGUCUGACUCUUUGCAAUCCCAUGGACUGUAGGCUGCCAGGCUCUUCUGUUCAUGGGAUUCUCUCGGCAAUAAUACUAGAGUCAGUUGCCAU
rnacentral:lncRNA from 1 species